rnacentral:rRNA from 1 species
UACGAAGGGGGCUAGCGUUGCUCGGAAUGACUGGGCGUAAAGGGCGCGUAGGCUGUGCAUUUGGUCAGGCGUGAAAUUCCUGGGCUUAACCUGGGGACUGCGCUUGAGACGGGUGUGCUGGAGGGCAGGAGAGGCUCGCGGAAUUCCCAGUGUAGAGGUGAAAUUCGUAGAUAUUGGGAAGAACACCGGUGGCGAAGGCGGCGAGCUGGCCUGUACCUGACGCUGAGGCGCGACAGCGUGGGGAGCAAACAGG